AUCUUGCCACCUCCAUUCCUAGGAAAUACCUUAGCUUUCCCAAGUCCUUGGUUUCGAAUUCCCUGUUUAACAACUUCUUCAAAUUGCUAAUCUCUUCCUCAUCAUCUCCAGUAAGAAUGAUGUCAUCCACAUACACAAUUAGGAUAGCUUUCUUAUUUGUAGAAGUUACCUUGAUGAAAAGCGUAUGAUCGGCAAGGGACUGCUUGUAGCCAUUUUGAAGAAUGACUUUAGUGAACCUCUCGAACCAAGCUCUGGGUGAUUGUUUUAACCCGUAUAGAGACUUGUUGAGCUUGCAAACCUUGUUGCUACCUUCAAUAGACUUUGAGCCAGGUGGCAAUUGCAUAUAGACUUCUUCCUCAAGCUUGCCAUUAAGAAAUGCGUUUUUUACAUCAAGUUGGUGUAAUUUCCAAUCGCAAUUUACAGCCAAACUUAGGAGUACUCGAAUAGUGUUAAGCUUUGCCACAGGUGCAAAAGUUUCUGUGAAGUCUAUCCCAUAUGUUUGCGUGAAACCUCUGGCCACUAGUCUAGCUUUGUAUCGUUGGAUACUGCCAUUGGAGUUAUACUUUACAGCAACUUUGGAUAAAGAACAGGUUCCCUCAAUCGAUGGCAGGUGAUAGUCAGACCAGACGAAUCUGAUGGAGCAUCGGAACCAGAAAAAUUUUCUGGAUUUGAAGUAAUCUCCGAAGUAGGAGGAGUUUCGGACAUGGUCUAGGUUGAAAAAGAAAUCGUAACCUAAGCUCUGAUACCAUGUAGAAAUCAGAGUAUUUGAUACUAAAUAGAACAUAAAACAGAGUUUUUAUAUACAACCUAUGACACUACUUUAGGAAACUCUAAGUUAGGAAAGAUACUAAAUAGGAGAUAUGAUCCCUUAAAAUAAGGGAUUUUAAUAAAGAAAAUAUCUACAAAAUAUUCCUAAAAUAUUUACAGAAUAUUCCUACAAUAUGAGGUAGCUUAUGUUAGACCAAUAGGUCUGUUUUAUGUUCUGUGUUCGGAGCAUACCUGCAUUCCACUUCUUUUUCCUUGAUUCUGCAUUUUAUUUCUGAUAUUUGCCAAUGUUUGUUCUGCAUGAGCCAAAAAAUUUUAGUCUUUUGACUUUUGAUUCAUUCCUUUACUGAACUUUAUAUUUGGUUUCUGAUUAUGAUUUAAAAUUACAUUUUUGUCUUUGAAGAAUAAAUCAUGGUUGGGAUCCCUUAUCAGCACAAUAAUUGGUAACUUGAAGCUCUCAAUCUCUAAUAUUCACAUCAGAUAUGAGGAUCUUGAGAGGUACAAAAAAACCUAAAGGUUGAUGUCCUGUUUUCUUAGCAAUUUGUGUGGAACUAAGUGCUUUUUUUUCUCCCUUUUCAUUUUAGCAAUCCUGGCCACCCUUUUGCAGCUGGCCUUACAUUGGAGAAACUCUCAGCUGUAACUGUUGAUGAUAAUGGGAAGGAGACUUUUGUUACUGGCGGUGCAUUGGAUCGUAUACAGAAGGUAAACCUCUUUUAGUAAAUAACAAAAUUUGAUUUUUCAAUGUUUCAAUCACUUUUGACGGACAGAAGUUCACUGAGGCAUGACUUAUCGUAAAAAGACUUUGCCAUAUUAUUUUAUCAUAAAAUUAUUCUCUAUGAUUAUAGAAAAAGAGAUUCAUUCGUUGUUGGGUUGCUUCUUGAUGCUGCACAGUUUUAGCAAAAACUAUAGUUCCUUUUCUUCUUCAUUGGGUUUAAAUUUCUAUACUAAGCCCAGACCUAUAAACUAUUUCAUUCCAAAACUGUGGUUUAUCAACUUUGCUUACUUUAAUGAGUCAUUGCCACUUAAAAUGGCUGUUGGUCCGGCCCCCUGUGAAGCUGUUUGAUGCAACCAUCCUAACUUUCAGGGCUGUUAACUGCCUCUGGCAGGUCAUCGUUAGUCAUCACAGAAGGUAUACAUCACACCACUGUGACCACCGGAGCUCUCUUUCUGCUGACUACUGCUUUUUCGAGACUCUGAUCCUUUUGAUUCCCUGCCCCCUCAAGUUCAUACUUCCUUCGGAGAAUUCUAUUUAUUAACUAUUAUUUAUGAUGACUGAUUUUUGUUUUUAUUCCCUCUUCUUAUAGUCUGUUGAACUGGAUCGACUUGCUCUUUACUUGGAUUCUGAUAUAUCACCAUGGCAUAUCAAAGAGCCGUGGGAGGAUUUACUUCCUGCUGAGUGGGUUCAGGUAUUCCCCUAUCACUUUUUGAAUUUAACAUGUAUACUGAUUUCUGUUGCUUUUCUCAGUUCUAGACCAAGAGUGUCCUUGUUUCCCAUGAACUGCAGGUUUUCAGAUUCGGUACAAAAGAUGGAAGACCAGCUGAUCAUCCUACAGAAGAGCACAGCUAUAUCCUGCAGCCAGUGACUGGAGAUGCAAAGUACAUGAAGCUGCGGCAAAAUCAAUCAUCUAAUAGUGAUGAGCCUCUCCAAAAAGCAGCAGUGAGCCUGGAGAAUGUCACACUUUGUUUGUCAAAGGUUAUUUCUAGUGUUUCUAUCCCGGAAGUGCUUUAUUUAUAUUGAAGGUAGGUUUUUAAUGGUUUUAUUAUCCUUGUAUAUGUAGGAUGGAUACAGGGAUAUUUUAAAAUUGGCUGACAACUUCACGGCCUUCAAUCAGAGGUUGAAAUAUGCCCAUUAUCGUCCGUCUUUCACUUUGAAGUCAGAUCCAAGGUCUUGGUGGAAGUAUGCUUACAAAGCUGUUUCUGAUCAGAUGAAGAAGGCUAGGUGCUUAAACAAGAUAACUCUGUUUCUUUCUGUCCUGGAUUUUAUUGUUUAUUGCACAACAUCUCCUCAUAUGAUUAACCUGCACAAAGAUAAAACCUUUAAUCUGCAUCAUCCUGGAAAUUGCUAUGUGUGUUAAGUCUUGAAAGUCAGUACCAUUCGACAGAGGAUGGUCCAUGUCUUAGAUUUUCUGCUUUGGUUUUUUAUUUCUCUUUUUUUUUUUUGAAGCUCGGGCAUAAAAGUUUGUGCAAGUGGGGAGCUUUCGCCUUUCUUUCUUUCUUUUUUUUUUUUUUUUACCAUGAUUGGAUUUUCACAGGAUUUUCUUUUGGUUAUGCAUUUUCUAAGAAACUAGUUGUUUUGGCAGUGGAAAACUGUCAUGGGAGCAGGUUUUGAAAUAUACAAGGUUGCGGAAGAAAUAUAUAUCCCUCUAUGCAUCACUGCUUAAAUCUGACGUGAAUCGGUCAGUAGUUGAUGACAAUAAAGAAAUUGAGGAACUUGAUCGUGAACUUGAUAUUGAACUUAUACUGCAGUGGAGGUAAUGUAUUCCUUUGGCUGGUUUCUUCCUUAAUAAGUGUACCUUUUAUUCCCUUGAGACUGCUUCUCUUGGAUUUAACUAUUUACGCCGAAGUAGACUGCUACCCAUUGACAAGAACCAAGGGUUUCGUGCAUCACAUUGAACAACAGCAUGUGCAUUCUAACUGCAUAAUGAACUUAAUCCUACCACUCCAAUCUUAAUCUGCUUAGCUUCAUGUCAAAACUUGCUCUAGCAUUCUCAUUUUCAAAUUCUUAUAGGUAUCUAACUUCAAUCUAUACUGGAUGGCGAUAGAUGAAGUUGCUCAAUAUAGCUAAGGCUAACUGCCACUUAAUUAUGAUGUUAUUAACGUUAGAGAGACAUCAGGAGAGUGAACAGAAACUGAGAAGUUUGUUGAUGUCUGUAGACACAGGCAUAAGUAUUCUGGGCUUGUCAUAUGGAUGUGCAUAACAACUCUAAACUCUGAACACUUCACUAUAUUUUUGGUUCAAUGAAGUGACUUUUUGAUCUAGAUGAGGACUAUAUCCUGGUAUUAUGCAGAAUGCUGGCGCACAAGUUUCUUGAGCAGUCAAUAGAAUCAGAAAACUAUUUGAAGAAGCAGAAAGCUAAACAAUCAUGGUGGUCAUUUGGAUGGUACAAAUGUUCUUACAAUUUAAUUAAUAAACUCCUAUGAUGCUGUAGAAUUUACAAAUAACCUGUUCUUACAAUUACAGGGGCAGUCAAUCUUUUAAAGAUGAAACUGAAUCAUUACAUUUCAGUGAAGAGGAGUGGCAGCAAUUAAAUAAAAUUAUAGGAUAUAAGGAAGAUGAAGAUGGGCAGUCGCUUAUGAUUGAUGAAAAACCUGACAUUCUUCAGACUGUUUUGGAGAUUCACAUGAAACAUAAUGCUUCAAAGCUUCUGGAUGGGGCCCAUACAUGUCUUGCUGAUUUAUCAUGUGAAGGACUUGAUUGCUCCAUUAAGCUUUAUCCAGAGACGAAAGUGUUUGGUGUGAAGCUGGGGUCAUAUCAAUUAUCAUCUCCUAAUGGUCUUCUUGCUCAGGUCUAAUUUUCCUCUUGCAUUUUCAGACUUGUUUUUUAUUUUAUUUUAUUUGUUACAUAGGUUUCUUGCUAAAGUCCAAUUUCCCUUUUUCAUUCUUCACAAUUGCUUUUUGAUUGGUUACAUAAUUCCCCAACAGUAGCGGCAGCUUAAUUCUGCCUUUGUUCAUGCAGAGUGCGACUACAGCUGACUCUUUAGUUGGUGUCUUCUGCUAUAAGCCUUUUGAUGCUAAAGUAGACUGGAGCAUGGUUGCUAAAGCUUCUCCUUGUUAUGUGACUGUAUGGAAUCACUCCUAACUCUUGAAUUGUAAUUUCUUUGGACUGUAUACUGAUUUGUUAAUGCCAUGUCUUUGGUCAGUAUCUCAAGGAUUCCCUCGAUGAAAUUGCCAAAUUUUUUGAAAGCAAUACAGCUGUGGGCCACACAAUUGCACUGGAAACUGCAACUGCUGUACAGGUUUUACUAUGCUUAUAUAUCCUUUUCUCUUCUAUUGAAGAGAGCUUUCUGUAGCCAGGUCACUAGAAAAGACUUUUAUCAUUAUGAGUUUAUGACUUUAAAAUAUUGUAGAAUAGUAUAUCAUUUCGAGUUUAUGACUACUAAAUAUUGUAGAAUAUUUAAUUCUGGUUUCUGAUGGGAAGGUAAAUAAUAUUGAAAUUAAUGAAAGCAACUAGAUGCUCCUGUUUUAAGUUGUUGUAAGUUGUAAGGGCACAUUCUUUAAACAACUCUACUAAAAUCAGAGUUAAAAAAUAAAAUUUGUUAACAUAAAUUUUUCCUGUAUCAACAGUAAGAAUAAAAUUUAUCAUGGUUUCAUAUAAUUUAUUCUUUCAGAAAAGUUCUUUUUUGCACUAGCAUAUUCAAGUGAUGAUUGGUCUGGUUCCCUAAUGGCAUGUUUAAAUGAUCAUCAGAUGACAAUUGAUGAAGUAAAACGGUCUGCUCAGCAACAAGUGAACAGGGCUUUGAAGGACCAUACCAGGUAUGUUACUUUACAUUGAAAAUUGCGACAGUGACCAUAUUGGUAUCUCCAAGGAUUGCUAGGCUAUUCCGUGUCUGCUUUCUUCUUCUUUUGAAGUCCUUUAAUGUUUCUUACCGCUGCUGCUGUCUUGUCUCUCUUCUCCCUCCAUUGGGGGGGGGAUAUAAUGUCUCCUAUAUAGCUGCUGAAAUUAUGUUUAUCGAUGUGAUAACUGUUAUUGCUUCAUGAGCCUUUCAUGAGGGGCUAAAACACAAACUAGGAAGCUUCAUAUGAUAUUGUCCCAUUUUGAUUUAAUCAGUAUAUUUUUCCAGGAUUAAUUAAUCCUUGUAUUGAAUUUGUAACUGAAAAUUGAAAGCUUAGAUUCACCGUACUGGUAUUGAUUAUUUAUCUUUCAAUUUUCAUUGUAAGGCAGUUUUCUAGGUAUGUAAGCUGUAAUAUUUGGAUGUGGCUUGUUGGGUCAUAUGGGUUGUCCAUUUUGGGGUCUUACAUAUCCUGUUUUGUGUACUCUUCUAUGUUCGUUUGAUUGAUAUAUUUAUCCCAUUGACUUUGAGAAGACAUAUUUUAGUUAUUAGUAUGCAAUUUAUAUGCAAAGUAUUUAUUUUUACCUGUUUGUAGGUUUCUGCUAGAUUUGGAUAUUGCAGCUCCUAAGAUUACAAUUCCAACUGAAUUUCAACCUGAUAACAAGCAUUCCACAAAGCUUCUUCUUGAUUUGGGAAAUUUGAUCAUUCGUUCACAGGUUUGAAGAUGAAGAGAAUCUUAAUUGCAUAAUCUGGAAUGUAUAAUUUAUAAGGAUUUUUGCUGAUAUCUUCAGGAUGACAAUGCACUCACAUCUCCUGAGGAGCUGGAUUUGUAUUCGCAGUUUGAUUUGGUUUUAAGUGAUGUGUCUGCUUUUUUGGUUGAUGGUGAUUACCAUUGGAGCCAAACAUCUCUAAAGAAGUCUGCGGCUUCUACCAACACUGAUGGUCUUAGUUUCUUGCCCGUUAUUGACAAAUGCGGGGUAAUCUUAAAGCUUCAGCAGGUAAAGUUGUAGACAAUUUCCCUUAAAUGUUUUUAUAAUGUUGAGUGCUUUUAGGUCAUUAUUUUUAUAUCACAUACAGAUUCGCUUAGAGAACCCGUCAUACCCGACAACAAGGCUUGCUAUACAAUUACCAUCUUUAGGAUUUCACUUUUCUCCUGCUCGGUACCAUAGAUUAAUGCAAGUAACUAAAAUAUUCCAAGAGGAGGAAAACGACAGCCCAGAUCUGCUUUAUGCUUGGAAUCAAGCUGACUUUGAGGGUUGGUUGUCUGUUCUUAGUAGGAAGGUCUCUCUCUCUCUCUUCCAUAUACAUUGUGUGUGUGUGCACAUGCAUGUUUGUUUUUUAUCUGGUUUUAUUUUCUUGACUAUUCUUUAACCCCCUUCUGCAAUAUUUAUGUGAUAGGGUGUGGGAAAUAGGGAAGCUGUAUGGCAGCGACGAUACUUGUGCUUAGUAGGGCCUUUUCUAUAUGUACUUGAAAGUCCUGGCUCCAAGUCAUACAAGCAGUAUAUCAGGUUCACUUACCAACUUGUCCAUAUUUGUUUUCCAAUGGCAUUGAUCAUCUUAUAUAAGUGGAAUACUGGAUAUGAUAUUUUGAAGAUUUAGGAGGUUUGAACACACAAUGCUUGAAUAAGAGUGUUACAUUCUCAGUGAAAUCUCUUCUUAAUAGAUUAAAUUAAAAAUCUACUACAAGAAUACAAAACUCCACCCUUUGUAUCCAUGUUGGGAAGAUAUGGAUUUGAUAAGGAUGAAUUACAUUCAGAUGUGAUUAGAUAUGUUGAAAUAUGUAUAUAUUUUAAAUUUAUUUAGGUAGAUAAAUCUUAUUUAGGUAUAUAAGUUUUAUUCAUAUUCUAGGAAUAUUUUUAUUUUAUCUUUUAGUAGUUUAUUAGGACAAGGGAACUGUUUCCUUUUAUAUUUUAGUAGUUUAUUAGAAUAAGGGAACUAUUUUCUCAAUUAGGAUUAGAACUCUUUUCUCUAUUUAAGUUCAAUUCUUCAAUUAAUAAUAUAGAACAGUUUUAUUAAAAGCUCUCUUGAAAACUUUCAUGGCAUCUGAGCUAGGUUAAAAUCUCUAGUAACAUCAUGGUUAAAACAACCUUCACUAGAGAUAAGAAAAAAUCUUGGUGCGAUCACUGCAAAAAAUAUUGGCACACUCGAGAAACGUGUUGGAAGCUUCAUGGGAAACCGACAAAUGGAAGGAAAAAGAGUGGCAAUGGUCGUGGUUCACAAUUAGGGGAUAGCAGAGCUUUCCAAACAACUAAUGGAAAUUAUAAGGGCCAAAGUUCUCUGGAAGGGUCUCCAUUCACUAAGGAACAAUUAGAGCAUCUACACAAGUUUUUUCAAUCACCACAAUUUCGGAUGAAUUCUUCAAUUCCUAACUCAUCCAAUAAUCCUUCUUCCUCUGUUGCCCAAUUAGGUACUGAUUUUUCUGUUUUUUUCAGUGUCAAGCCUUGUAAAACAAACACAUGGAUCGUUGAUUCUGGAGCUAGUGAUCACAUGACUAGUAGUCAUUUUCUUUUUUCAACUUACACACCUUGCGCAGGAAACAAAAAGAUCAAAGUAGCAGAUGGGUUCUUCUCGGCAAUAGCCGGGAAAGGCACUGUCAAAAUUUCAUCUUCUUUGGUUUUACACGAUGUUUUACACGUGCCAAAUCUAGCUUGUAAUCUCAUAUCGGUCAGUAAAUUAUCCCAGUCCUCAAAUUGUCAUGUUAUAUUUGACUCCUCUAUGUGUAAGUUUCAGGACAUGGUCUCGGGGAGGAUGAUUGGCAAUGCUAAAGAAUUUGGUGGAAUUUACUUUCUUGAAAACGACCAUCUAAGUCAACCAACAACUACUUUAUGUUUAAAUUCUGUUUCUGAUAAGGUUAUGAUUUGGCAUUAUAGGCUUGGACAUUCUAAUUUUUACUAUUUAAGAUAUUUGUUACCUAAUCUUUUUAAAAAUAAAAGUCCUUCUUCAUAUCAUUGUGAAUUUUGUGAAUUGGCUAAACAUCAUCGGUCAUUCUUUCCACUUAAAAAAUAUAAAGCCUCCAAACCUUUUUCGUUAAUUCAUAGUGAUGUUUGGGGACCUUCAAGAGUCUCGACCUUUUCAGGAAAAUGUUGGUUUGUCACUUUUAUUAAUGAUCAUACUCGACUUUGUUGGGUGUUUUUAUUAAAAGAUAAGUAUGAAGUUAAAAAUGUGUUUCAAUCUUUUUAUGCUAUGGUGAAAACACAAUUUGGUGUGAAAAUAGAAGUAUUUCGGACUGACAAUGGUGGGGAAUUUUUUAGCGACCAAUUAGGUGUUUUCUUAACCAAACAUGGAAUAGUCCACCAAAGUUCUUGUACAAAUACACCACAACAAAAUGGGAUUGCAGAAAGAAAAAAUCGACAUCUUUUGGAAGUAACUAGAGCCUUGAUGUUCACUAGUCAGGUACCACGUUAUCUUUGGGGCGAAGUCUUGUUAACAACUACAUAUCUUAUUAAUAGAAUGCCCAGUAAAACUCUAAACUAUAGAACUCCUUUUAGUCUCUUUAAAGAUAAUUUUCCUAACUCUAAAUUGAUCACAGAUUUAUCCCUCCGAGUUUUUGGGUGUAGUGUUUUUGUUCAUCUUCACAACCAAGGUAAACUAGAUCCUAGAGCAAAAAAAUGUGUCUUUGUUGGUUAUGCUUCUACUAAAAAGGGUUACAAAUGUUAUGAUCCAAUUGAUAGGAAGAUUAUUAUUACCAUGGAUGUCACAUUUGUUGAAACACAAUCUUAUUUUGAUUCUAAUCUUCAGGGAGGGAAUUAUACUAAGGAAGAUUCUAUAAUUGAUCAAGAAAAGAUUAGGAAUAUACAACAUAGGGAUUCUAAUAAUGGGGAAGGCGAAUUUAUAAUUAACACAGAAAUUAAUGAUGUUAAUGUUAAUGAAAAGGAGGAUGAAGGUGUAGAGUCUAAUCAUGAGAAUAAAAAACAAACAAAGGAGUUAAUUGUUUAUUCAAGAAGAAAUCGAAAUCAAGAAAGUGGAGUCCACCAGAUUCAUCACCAAGAAUCCGACCCGCAAGAUCCUGUCAAAAGUCUAGGUAAAACUCAUAGAUAUUCUAAUUGCCAAAAGAAAAGAUGUUAGAAAUAUUGUCAAAUAUCCCAUGUCUAACUUUGUAUCCUAUAAAGCCUUGUCUUCGACAUUCUCAACCUUUGUUUCGUGUCUCGAUACUAUACAAAUACCAAAAAAUGUGAAAGAUGCUUUACAGGUUCCUGAGUGGAAGAGGCUAUUUUAGAAGAGAUGCGCGCUCUUGAAAAAACAGGUACAUGGGAAACAAUGGAAUUACCUGUAGGGAAAAAAACAGUGGGUUGUAAAUGGGUGUUCACAACCAAAUUUAAACCAGAUGAAUCUUUAGAUAGAUAUAAAGCCCGAUUGGUGGCUAAAGGGUACACUCAAACAUACGGGAUAGAUUAUCUUGAAACGUUUGCUCCAGUGGCCAAAUUAAAUUCCGUUAGAGUUCUUUUAUCAAUUGCUGUUAAUCUUGAUUGGUUUUUACAGCAGUUAGAUAUGAAGAAUGCUUUCCUAAAUGGAAAACUUGAAGAAGAAGUUUACAUGGAUCCUCCUCCAGGUUUUGAAGAAAAAUUUGGAACUCGAGUAUGUAAACUCAAGAAAUCUUUGUAUGGUCUGAAGCAGUCUCCUCGAGCUUGGUUUGAACGAUUCACUCAAGUUGUUAAAAAACAAGGUUACUCACAAGGGCAAGCUGAUCACACGAUGUUCUAUCGACAUUCACAAAAAGGUAGAAUAGCAGUUAUUAUAGUUUAUGUCGAUGAUAUCAUUCUUACAGGAGAUGAUGUGGAUGAAAUAAGGCGUCUCAAGGAGCAUCUAGCAUUGCAGUUUGAGAUUAAAGACUUGGGUCUUUUGAAAUACUUUCUUGGAAUGGAAGUUGCUCGAUCAAAGAAGGGUCUUGUGGUCUCUUAAAAAAAAAUAUGUGAUUGAUCUUUUAAAAGAGGCUGGGAUGAGUGGUUGCCGCCCAGUUGACACACCAAUUGAUCCAAAUGUAAAAUUCGGAAAUAAAGAAGGUCGAUUAGUUGAUAAAGGGCAGUACCAAAGAUUAGUUGGUAAGUUAAUUUACUUAUCAUAUACAAGGCCAGACAUUGCUUUUGCAGUGAGUUUAGUGAGUCAAUUUAUGCACUCCCCAAUGGAGGAACAGGAAGAAGCAGUGUUUCAAAUUCUAAGAUACUUAAAAAGUUCACCGGGAAAGGGCUUAUUCUUCAAGAAAUCCGAACAAAGAGGAAUUGAAGCUUAUACAGAUGCAGACUGGGCAGGCUCAAUAAUAGAUAGAAGAUCUACAUCAGGAUACUGUACAUUUGUUUGGGGAAACCUUGUGACUUGGCGAAGCAAAAAACAAAGUGUUGUAGCAAGAAGUAGUGCAGAGGCUGAGUUUAGAUCAAUGGCUUAAGGAAUUUGUGAAAUGAUGUAGUUAAAAAGAAUUAUGGAAGAGCUGAGGAAACCAAUAACUUCACCAAUGAAGUUGUACUGUGAUAGCAAAUCUGUCAUUAGUAUUGCUCACAACCCAGUCCAACAUGACAGAACUAAACAUGUUGAGAUUGAUAGAUAUUUUAUCAAGGAGAAGAUUGAAGAAGGCCAAGUGUGCAUGCCGUUUGUUCCUUCAAAACAACAGAUUGCUGACAUACUUACCAAAGGAUUCUCUAAGACAAACUUUGAUUUUCUUGUAAGCAAGUUGGGCAUGAUUGAUAUAUAUGCACCAACUUGAGGGAGGGUGUUGAAAUAUGUAUAUAUUUUAAAUUUAUUUAGGUAGAUAAAUCUUAUUUAGGUAGAUAAGUUUUAUUCAUAUUCUAGGAAUAUUUUUAUUUUAUCUUUUAGUAGUUUAUUAGGACAAGGGAACUAUUUCCUUUUAUAUUUUAGUAGUUUAUUAGAAUAAGGGAACUAUUUUCCCAAUUAGGAUUAGAACUCUUUUCUCUAUUUAAGUUCACUUCUUCAAUUAAUAGUAUAGAACAGUUUUAUUAAAAGCUCUCUUGAAAACUUUCAAGAUACACUAAGUUCUCGUUGUUGUGGCUAAGGUCUUAGAAGACUUGUGUUUUCAGAGUCACCCAUCUAGUUUACCAUGUGCUAUAGCAUUACUGGUUCAUGUACAAUCUUCUUAUUUGUACUAGAGGCAAUCAAGUUUAUGUCCUAAUUUAUUUGCUUUGUAGCUUGAGAGGAAAACAUGUGCAUUUCGUUCCAGCAGAGUUGGUUGGUGGCGUGGAAUCUGUAUUAGCUGUUGGUGAUGCUGCACGGACAAAUAGCAAAGCUGUAAGAGCAUUUUAGUUAUUUAAAUACUGACUAUUGCGGAGUCAAGUGAGAUUGCAACUUAAAUUCCGAGUGUUCAAAUGUGAUUUUCCCUCUGCAUAUUUGCUUUAUUUACAUUAUAUUUCUUAUUAGGUGGUGGAAGAUGCAAAUGCUCUUAUAUUACGGUGCGAUAAUGAUGAUUUAAGGAAGGCAUGGCAUAGCCGCCUGCAGGGAGUUAUAUAUCAUACAUCGGUAGGCCCUUUGUUCCUGGUGUAAUCUGUUAAAAAUGCGUAGCAAGAAAAAGGUAGAGGAAGAGGAAUGGAUUGGAGACUCAAGUGGAAAAUUCUCAAAGAGCUGUUACACCUCAGUAAUUUUAGUCUUUAAUUGAUAUUGACUAUACCGUGUCUAACUGUACAGUGCGAUAUACAUAGGCAAACUAAGGAUCCGAAAAUCAUUAGAAUUAGGAGAAGUCUAAUACCCAACUAACUAAAAUUACCAUUAUACAUGAAAAUAGCCUGACUUGUAUAAGUGUUCCUCUAGCACACAUGUAUCACAUUCUUUCUGCUAAUUCUAAUGCAGUUGGCUCUGUAAAAUCAAUUCGCAUUAUGUAGUCAUUAAUAAGGGAAGCAGUUUGUGUGGGUCACAAUCUUUGUAAUGCAAAAGUUAUAAUCUAUCUGCAGGAUUCUGCUGCUAUUACUGGUCUAUCUGAAACUUCAUCAGACUCGGAAACAGAACGCAAUGACAAGAAUGAUACAACUGAUCUAUCAAAGAAAGAGAGUGUUUUCAUAACUGGGGUUCUUGAUGAGCUAAAGGUCGACUUUAGUUAUAAUCAUCAGGUAUGCCUGAUUGUUUUCUCAUGAACUUCAGCUGAAGUUGAUCCACCUAGAAUUUAACUGAUUUGCGCAUCUUUUCUAGCAUGAGCGAAGUUUCAUUAAGGUGCUUCUUGCUGAAGAGCAUCCACUAUUUGAAUUCCGAGCAUUAGGCGGUCUGGUAAGUUUAACAUUGUCAUGUUUAUUUUAGUUUAUAUUUCUAUUUGUUAUGAUCUUAUAAAUUUUAUUUUUGUCAAACAGGUUGAACUUUCAAUAAAAGGGAAUGAUAUGUUUAUUGGUACCGUUCUGAAAUCCUUGGAAAUUGAAGAUUUGAUUUGCUGCAAUCCUGUGUCUCAGCCUUGCUACUUAGCAAGAUCUGUUGUACGAAGUGCAGAUGCACAAUCAUUAGAUGAUGCUGCGAAUCAGUGUUUUGAAAGAAAUGAUAUGUCCCCAAUUGAAGGAGAUGAUAAAUUUUAUGAAGCACCUGAAGAUUUAGUUGAUUCUUUUGAAUUUGCAACACCCACAUCUCAGAAAGCAUCUGAAUUAGCUAGUUUGGAAAGUUUUCUUUCAUCAGAAAAAACAUUGUUCAUGACUCACAGUUUUAGUCGUGUCACUGGUUUACUCCCUGAUGACAACCUUCUUCCGAGGAGUGAGGCUAUUGAACCAAGUGAUACAUUAGACAGUUUUGUUAAAGCACAAAUAGUUAUUUAUGACCAGAACUCUCCUCUAUACAACAAUAUUGACAUGAAGGUGGGUUCUUCUCUGGGUUUGAAAUAGACUUAUGUCAUUAUCUUUUUGUAUUUUAAAGUAAUAAAAUGUUGUUCUCAGGUCACAGUGACUCUGUCUACAUUGUCAUUUUUCUGUCGUAGACCGACAAUCCUUGCCAUUAUGGACUUUGCUAAUGCUGUUACUAUUGAGGAUGAAACCUGUGAAUCUUUUGGUGAUGGUUCUUCUGCAUUUGGGGUGAAACAUGAUAUUUCUAGUGAAGAUCCUGUUGACAAUCAACAAGCAACCAAUUUUGAUGAGCCUGUGGUCAAAGGUCUGCUAGGAAAAGGAAAAUCUCGAAUUAUAUUCAAUUUAACAUUAAAUAUGGCUCAUGCUCAGAUCUUGUUGAUGAAUGAAAAUGAAACGAAGCUCGCUACAUUGUCACAAGAAAACCUGCGUACUGAUAUAAAGGUCUGGUUUACCUGUUUUACAAAUUUUUCGUGUCUCUCUUCAGGAAGUUUCUAUUAAUUCCUUCUCUUUUUUCAUCUCAUCUCAUCCUCUGCAUUUUUUUGGAACAAAAUUACUGUAUCUUGAAUUUGAUCUCAAAAGUUUUCUUCUAUUUGAAGGUGUUCCCAUCCUCUUUUAGUAUAAAAGCAUCAUUGGGAAAUUUGAGAAUAAGUGAUGAUAGUCUCCCAAGCAGCCAUAUGUAUUUCUGGAUCUGUGACAUGAGAGAUCCUGGAGGCACUUCAUUUGUUGAGGUAUUUACUUUAUCUAUGAUUUUAUUUUUGACCCUGCAACAAAAGUUCUUCAUUUUGUUUAAAUCUGUGGAUGUGUUGCUCAAGUUCGCUUUGUCUUUUCAAAUGUAACUAGUUUUUCUGUAGUUCUCCUAGAUGACAGCCUCUCUGCUUUAUGUGUACAGAAUACUAUUCAUUUUUCCUCUUUCUUUCUUUCUUUUUUGUCUAUUUGUCUGAAUUUAGUUUAUAAUGUUACAAAAACUUAUCAUCAUUCUUUUGGCUGGUUUAUAGCUGGUUUUUACUUCAUUCAGCAUUGAUGAUGAGGAUUAUGAAGGUUACGAGUAUAGCCUCUUUGGCCAACUUUCAGAAGUGCGCAUUGUUUACUUAAAUCGCUUUGUGCAGGAGGUAAUAAAAAUUUCAAUUAUUAUAAUUACUUAAUGCAGUUUUUGUUUAUUUCUCAUGUCUGAAAUUUGAUAAUGUAGGUUACUAGUUAUUUUAUGGGUCUUGUUCCCAAUGAUUCAAAAGAUGUUGUGAAAUUGAAAGAUCAAGUUACAGACUCAGAGAAGUGGUUCACAACUAGUGAAAUUGAAGGAUCACCUGCCAUAAGGUUGGACCUUUCACUUAGGAAACCUAUAAUCCUGAUGCCUCGCAGAACAGACAGCCUCGAGUACGUUAAUAUUGGAAUAUAGAUUUAACGAGUUUCAAUUUUUCAUUAUUUUCUGCCUAUGUAGCUAUUUUAUGUCAUCAGUGAUCUUGACUUGUUACAGUAACUGUUUUUAAAUUUUCUGUGACAGUUAUCUGAAGCUUGAUGUUGUUCAUAUUACGGUGAAAAAUACCUUCCAAUGGUUCUCUGGCUGUAAAAGUGACUUGAAUGCUGUCCACCUUGAAAUAAUGACAAUUCUGGUGAGGAUCUAACUAGAUUGUCUCUUGCUAGGCCUGAUAAGUAAAUUCUAAGAAAUUGGAAUAGAAAUGGCAGGAACUCAUUGAUGGUCUUUCCCUGUUAUAAUGUAGAUAUAAUGAACUCUCCAUUAAGUUUCAUCUGUUUUGAGGUUUUUGUUGGAAUUUUAUUUUGACUUUCUUAUACCAACAGUGUUCAACAUUUUCUUGGAACCUAGAGUAGUUUUUAUCACAAACCACCAUUUUUUGUCCUAGUAUUUCAUCGUAACAUGGAAAUAAUUUUAUCAAAGAAAUUCAAGGUGGGUAUUGAUGGGUUAAUAAAUUCAUAGAAAUGUUUUUAGUUGGACCAAUAAAUUAUUACCACAUGGGUUGGAUAAAUAGUAGGAAAAAAUCGUGUGAUGAAUGGCAUAUUUCAAUUGUUAAUCUGGCUAACGUAAUCUCUUGCAUGGAUUUUCUUCCCUCUUUUCUCUAAUGGGAUGCAGGUUCAGGACAUAAAUUUAAAUGUUGGUACUAAAUCAAAAUUAAGCGAAAGCAUUAUUAAGGAUGUCAAGGGGGUUUCUAUUGUCAUCCAGAGGUCCCUUCGAGACUUAACGCAUCAAGUACCAAGUAUUGAAGCUGUAAUCAAGGUAUUGCUGUGUAUUUAUUGAUAGGGGUACAUCAAACAAGAAGUCUUCUUGCUCUUUUUAAGAAGAGGAUGUUGAGGUAUACUUGUCUUUGAAUGUUUCUGCAGAUAGAGGAAUUGAAAGCAGACUUGUCAAACAGGGAUUACCAGAUUGUGACUGAAUGUGCACUUUCUAAUAUAUCUGAGACCCCACACAAUGUUCCGCCAUUAAACAGUGAUUUUUUGUCCUCAUCUGUAGAUGUUGUAGAACAUGUUAGUCCUCAAAAUACAAUUAGCAUUGGGCCUAGAACUUCAAAUGGUGAAACUUGGACUGUUUUGAAAGUUUCUGUCAUCAUCAAUCUCGUUGAAUUGGGCUUAUAUGUUGGGGAAGAAUGGGGUUCACCUCUGGCCACUGUGCAGGUAUAUUUCCAUUUUGCACUUUAAGUUAGUUAGAGUGUGUAGUUCUAUUCUAUCAAUUUGUUGUUUCUGAUUGGUUUGAGGUAGCAUAUUGCAUCCUUCAAAAAGGAACCCAUACUGCAUGCUUUUUAAGUUAAUUGUUGAUGGUAUAAUAAAUUGUUUGCAUGUCCAUGUCCUUGUCCAUGUCUAUAUUUAGUUUUUGAUCUUUGCUAUGCAGGCAAGUGGUGCAUGGCUUCUUUACAAGUCUAAUACAUUAGGUGAAGGUUUUCUCUCAGCAAGUCUUAAGAGAUUUUCUGUGAUUGAUGAUCGCAUUGGAACUGAAGAAGAGUUCAGGUUGGCAAUAGGGAUGCCAAAGAAUCCUCUGGUUUUUGUUGAUGAUACCAUGGGCCAGGUCAUAUCUAAUGCAAAUGUUACGAAAGAGAAUAAUAUCAAACCAUUUCCAACGAUGCUUCUUCUUGAUGCAAAAUUUGGUCAAUUCUCAACAUCCUUAUCUGUUUGUGUCCAGAGGCCACAAUUGCUUGUAGCACUUGAUUUUUUGCUGGCAGUUGUUGAGUUCUUUGUUCCCACAGUUGGCAGUAUGCUGUCAAAUGAAGAAGAUAAGAAGUCCUUACAUAUGGUAGAUGCAAUUAUUCUGGAUAAGUCAACAUUCACUCAACCAUCUGCUCAGUUCUCACUGUCACCUCUGAAACCUUUAAUUGCUGAUGAUGAAAAGUAUGAUAAUUUUAUUUAUGAUGGUAAUGGUGGAAUAUUGCAUUUGAAAGAUAGAGAAGGAUUUGAUCUUUCUGCACCUAGUAACGAGGCUAUGAUAUAUGUUGGGAAUGGGAAAAAGUUGCAGUUCAAGAAUGUUAUUAUAAAGGUAUGAUUUUUACCCAAAUUUUUUCUUGAUCUAAUAAACCAACAUCUUUACCAAGAAUGGGCACCAUUCAUAGCUGCUAUUAUUUUGGUGCAGAAUGGGCAAUAUAUAGAUUCAUGUAUUUCACUGGGAACCAACAGUUGCUACUCUGCUUCAAAGGAUGAUCUGGUCUACUUGGAGGGGGGACGGGAAAGUCAGCAAGCGGAUGCUUCAAGGGAAAUUGCUAAUGAUAUGGCACCUCAAAAUGCUAUGGUUGAUAGAUCUGCAGAGUUUAUCGUCGAGUUUCAGGUUUGUUGGUUUCUUUGUUUUUAUUUUCUAAUUUAUCUAUAUAUUUAUAUACUUUUUUCUACUCUCCUCAGGGUUUAUUAUUGUUUGUCCUAUAAGUUAUUAAGUUUUUGAGGCAUGCACUAGUCAGUAGUUUGCUAGGAAACUGAGAAGAUAUGUACUAGAAAGGAUUAUUACAAGUAGGACAGCAAUAUAAAGGACAUUCCAGAUAGAAAGGUCGGGUGGUAAAAAAGCCACUUGUGUUUUUCUCAGGGAGCAAGGAUCGAUUGGGGUUUGGAUAGAGAUCCUAGGUUUGAGCGAAAAUGUUCUCCCUUUUUACCAAAAAGAUGUGGGUGGUAGAUAUAAUAUGAGAUACAAGUCUUGAUAUAAUUCUGGAUGUUUGUCUUCCAAAGUUUCAAAAUGUGCCAAAACUACAAGUUUUCUUGCUUGAGCCCUUGUGCUUUAAAUAUGUGUAGAUUAGUAAUGGUUCAGUAUAACUUUUUUAUUAUUAUAAAAUUGGUAAGUAAUAUGUAUUUGGUACAGUAUAAUUUGCUACACUAAUUGUUAAUUUUGAGAAGAAAGAAAGAGAAGAGAAAGAGUGGCUGCUGCCGUGGAGAGAAAGAGAGGAAGAAAAGGAGGAGAGAAGAGAAUGAAUAUCAGAAUGAAUUGCAUACAUUGCCCUCAAACCUCAAGGAAAUAUAUACAAGUGAGACUAUACAUAAAAAGGAAAGGUAAUCUUCUAAUUACCUAAAUUUUAGCCUAUUAUAAUCCUAAAUCAACGUCUAAGGUUUAUACAAAUCUUAACAUUCUCCCUCAAGCUGGAGCGUAUAAAUCAUAUGCUCCUAGCUUGUUACAUAUAUAUCCAAUCCGAGGUUUCCUAAGAGCUUUAGUGAGGAUAUCUGCUAGCUGAUCAUUAGAAAUUAACGAAUCUAGUUGCAAUACACUUCGCCUCAAUCUUCUGUCUAACAAAGUGACAAUCAAUCUCUAUGUGUUUCGUCCUCUCAUGCAACACCAAAUUUGUUGCAAUAUGUAAGGCUUGAUUAUCACAUAUCAGCCGCAUUGGACUGUCAAUCUCACACCUUAAUUCCUGAAGAAGUUGUUUUAACCAGAUAAGUUCGCAAGUGACUAAGGCCAUGGCUUGAUACUCUGCUUCUGCACCUGGCCUUGCUACAACUUCCUGUUUUUUACUUUUCCAUGAUAUUAGAUUCCCUCCAAAGAAAACACAGUAUCUUGAGCUAGAUCUUCUAUCAGCCUUUGCUGCACUAACAGUAUUAGGAAUAGAUACAUUGGAUAAUGACGAGGUGAAGGCAUAAUAGGAAGGUGAUAACUCAAAAAAUUGUAAAUAGGAUGAGGAUUACCAGAAGAAUGAGUACCUUUUCGAAGAGCUAUAGGUGGAGUGAGUUCUGGUGACAUGAUUGGAGACGGAGAAGACGGUAGUGUAGAAGAUGAGUCACUUGGAGCAUCUACCUGACCUGUAUUAGAAGGCGGUAAUGUAGAAGAAUGAUUAUUAGCAGAGCGUCAAGAGUAGACUUGAAGAAGUUUAGUCUCUAGAUGGUCUUUAUACAGCCAUAGUUCAACCAAUGCAGACCAAGAAAUAUAAUUAUCACUGCCUUGAAGUUUGACAGUAGUAAUGGCUGGAUAACUAGAAAUUGAAGAAAAAUGGAUUUCAUAGAACCUGAAGGAUCUAUAGAAGAAAAAAGAAGAGAGAAAAAUCAAACAGUAACGAAGAUGGACAAUGACAGCACUACUGGUGUCAGCGAGGUUGGGUGACACUCUAUGAAGAUUCACGGAAGAAAACGGAGAUCAGAGGAGUCCCCACGUGUUCUUAUGUGCUAGCUCGUGGGAGAGUUGUAGAAAUUGCACAGCAGCGCGUGUGGCUCACAUGUGCGGUUUCCAGUGGCAGGGUCUUGGUUGGAGGAUCGACUUAGGCUGGGUAUUUUAGUGGUGUGGGUGGUGAGAAUUAAAUGGCUCUAAUACAAUGUUAAUUUUGAGAAGAAAGAAAGAGAAGAAAAACAGUGGCUGCUUCCGUGAUAGAGAAAGAGAGGAAAAGAGGAGAGAAAAGAAAGAAUAUCAGAAUGUAUUGCAUACAUUACCCUCAAACCUCUUAAGAAAAUAUAUACAAGUGAAACUAUACAUAAAAAGGAAAGAUAAUCUUUUAAUCUCCUAAAUUUCAGCCUAUUAUAAUCCUAAGUCAAUGUCUAAGGUAAUCUUUUUAUUUUAGAAUUUAAAGUUGUUGAUGCACAUCAACUUACUAUUUUUUUCCUCAUUAACUCUUUUUCUUUUGAGUUUCUGAAAUUGAAAAAUGGAAUGGAGAAAACCUAUACAUAUGUAUGUACCUUUGAUAAUGUACUUUCUUCAUGCUUAUUUUAUUCUGACUGAUUA
rnacentral:lncRNA from 1 species